UACGGGGGGGGCAAGCGUUGUUCGGAAUUACUGGGCGUAAAGGGUUCGUAGGUGGCUUGUUAAGUCAGACGUGAAAUCCCUCAGCUUAACUGGGGAACUGCGUCUGAGACUGAUGAGCUCGAGUGCAGGAGAGGAACGCGGAAUUCCAGGUGUAGCGGUGGAAUGCGUAGAGAUCCGGAAGAACACCGGUGGCGAAGGCGGCCUGCUGGGCAGUAGCUGACGCUGAGGCGCGACAGCGUGGGGAGCAAACAGG
rnacentral:rRNA from 1 species